rnacentral:rRNA from 1 species
CACCGCGGUUAUACGAGAGGCCCAAGUUGAUGAGCUGCCGGCGUACGGCGUGGGUAGGACAAAACUCAAACUAAGGCCAAACAUCUUCCAAGCUGUAAUACGCAACCGAACCCGGGAAGCCCAACCACGAAAGUGGCUUUAUAUAGUUUCAACCCACGAAAGCUAGGGAA